rnacentral:rRNA from 1 species
AGCGAACGCUGGCGGCAGGCUUAACACAUGCAAGUCGAGCGGGCCCUUCGGGGUCAGCGGCGGACGGGUGAGUAACGCGUGGGAACGUGCCUUCUGGUCUGGAAUAACCCUGGGAAACUAGGGCUAAUACCGGAUACGCCCUUUUGGGGAAAGGUUUACUGCCGGAAGAUCGGCCCGCGUCUGAUUAGCUAGUUGGUGGGGUAACGGCCUACCAAGGCGACGAUCAGUAGCUGGUCUGAGAGGAUGAUCAGCCACACUGGGACUGAGGCACGGCCCAGACUCCUACGGGGGGCAGCAGUGGGGAAUAUUGGACAAUGGGCGCAAGCCUGAUCCAGCCAUGCCGCGUGAGUGAUGAAGGCCUUAGGGCUGUAAAGCUCUUUUAUCCGGGACGAUAAUGACGGUACCGGAGGAAUAAGCCCCGGCUAACUUCGUG